rnacentral:sRNA from 1 species
GCUGGGCACAGUGGCGCACGCCUGUAAUCCCAAAGGCUUGGGAGGCUGAGACAGGAGAAUUGUGAGUUCAAAGCCAGCCUCUGCAAUGGCGAGGCACCAAGCAACUCAAUGAGACCUUGUCUCUA